CACUGGAUAGCUCAGUCGGGUAGAGCAACCGUCUAAUAAACGGUGUGUCGCGGGUUCGAUUCCCGCUCCGGAAA
rnacentral:tRNA from 1 species